rnacentral:rRNA from 1 species
AGUGAACGCUGGCGGCAGGCCUAACACAUGCAAGUCGAGCGGCAGCGCGGGGGCAACCCUGGCGGCGAGCGGCGGACGGGUGAGGAAUUCGUCGGAAUCUGCCUUUUUGUGGGGGAUAACGUAGGGAAACUUACGCUAAUACCGCAUACGUCCUACGGGAGAAAGUGGGGGACCGCAAGGCCUCACGCAGAAAGAUGAGCCGACGACCGAUUCACUAGUUGGUGGGGUAGAGGCCCACCAAGGCGACGAUCGGUAGCUGGGCUGAGAGGAUGAUCAGCCACACUGGGACUGAGACACGGCCCAGACUCCUACGGGAGGCCGCAGUGGGGAAUAUUGGACAAUGGGCGCAAGCCUGAUCCAGCCAUGCCGCGUGUGUGAAGAAGGCCUUCGGGUUGUAGAGCACUUUUGUCCGGAAAGAAAUCCCUGGAGCUAAUACCUUCGGGGGAUGACGGUACCGGAAGAAUAAGCACCGGCUAACUUCGUG